GAUGAACGCUGGCGGCGUGCCUAAUACAUGCAAGUCGAGCGAACAGACGAGGAGCUUGCUCCUCUGACGUUAGCGGCGGACGGGUGAGUAACACGUGGAUAGCCUACCUAUAAGACUGGGAUAACUUCGGGAAACCGGAGCUAAUACCGGAUAAUAUAUUGAACCGCAUGGUUCAAUAGUGAAAGACGGUUUUGCUGUCACUUAUAGAUGGAUCCGCGCCGCAUUAGCUAGUUUGUAAUGUAACGGCUUACCAAGGCGACGAUGCGUAGCCGACCUGAGAGGGUGAUCGGCCACAAUGGAACUGAGACACGGUCCAGACUCCUACGGGAGGCAGCAGUAGGGAAUCUUCAGCAAUGGGCGAAAGUCUGACGGAGCAACGACGCGUGAGUGAUGAAGGUCUUCGGAUCGUAAAACUCUGUUAUUAGGGAAGAACAAAUGUGUAAGUAAAUAUGCACGUCUAGAAGGGACCUAAUCAGAAAGCCACGGCUAAAUACGUG
rnacentral:rRNA from 1 species